rfam:Oceanithermus profundus DSM 14977, complete genome.
CCCCGUGCCCAUAGCGGCGUGGUCCCACCCGUUCCCAUACCGAACACGGAAGUGAAACACGCCAGCGCCGAUGAUACUUGGACCGCAGGGUCCUGGGAAAGUAGGGCGGUGCGGGGG